AGUGAACGCUGGCGGUAGGCCUAACACAUGCAAGUCGAACGGCAGCACAGUAAGAGCUUGCUCUUACGGGUGGCGAGUGGCGGACGGGUCAGGAAUACAUCGGAAUCUACUUUUUCGUGGGGGAUAACGUAGGGAAACUUACGCUAAUACCGCAUACGACCUACGGGUGAAAGCAGGGGAUCUUCGGACCUUGCGCGAUUGAAUGAGCCGAUGUCGGAUUAGCUAGUUGGCGGGGUAAAGGCCCACCAAGGCGACGGUCCGUAGCUGGUCUGAGAGGAUGAUCAGCCACACUGGAACUGAGACACGGUCCAGACUCCUACGGGAGGCAGCAGUGGGGAAUAUUGGACAAUGGGCGCAAGCCUGAUCCAGCCAUACCGCGUGGGUGAAGAAGGCCUUCGGGUUGUAAAGCCCUUUUGUUGGGAAAGAAAAGCAGCAGGUUAAUACCCCGCUGUUCUGACGGUACCCAAAGAAUAAGCACCGGCUAACUUCGUG
rnacentral:rRNA from 1 species